GAUGCCGCCCGAUGCAUCCUGAGUUUGAAAUCGCCAAACCGCCAUUGGUGCCGAGACUGUGACACGGGGUCACCUGUGGGCUCGCCUCGGCGUUUCGGGGGAAAGUUCCGCGGGGACGAGCUGGACGUCCCAGAGUCACCCGCUGGUGGGUGGCGGAGCGCACUGAGGCGCCGGCAGCUGGCGGCAGACACGUGUCCAUAGAGGCCCACCAUGGCGAGGGCGGGCAGGAAGAAGGCAGGCAGGGCAGUCCCGAGGGUCACGACCGGACUGGCGAGCAGACGCGGGUAACACUCGUCCUCCGGGACAAGGCGCUCGCCGCCAGAUGUCUGCCAGCACAUGAUGGCGGGCGUCCACAGGGCAAAAGACAGCAGCCAAGCGGCUGCGAUCAUCAAGGCGGCCAUCUUACCUGUCCGCCUAGACGGGUAGCUGAGUGGACGGGUCAGACAGAAGAAGCGAUCCAGGCUGAUGACGAGCAGGUUCAGCACGGCCGCCGCGCUCACGCCGUAGUCCACCACCAGCCACAGGUCACACAGGACGGCCCCUAGUGGCCAGUAGCCGCACACCGCAUACAGCACAUACACGUUCAUGGAGACCGCGCCCACCAGCAGGUCGGCCACGGCCAGGCUCAGCAGGAAGUAGUUGUUGACGGUCCGCAGGCGACGAUUCACCUUGACUGACAGCAGGACCAGGAAGUUUCCCAGCACGGUGACGCCGCUCAGCAAGAUGGUUACGGCGGUGACCAGAACCAGCUGAAGGAGGCCAUGCUGCCACGCCCCUGCCUCCACUGGCUCACAGGUGGCGUUCAUGAGGGGCCGGGGCCAGGCGGAAGCAUUGAGUUCGAGGUCUGUUGCCAUGUUUCCUUGAAAGUACAGUGAGUCACGUUAAUGGAGAAAAAACGGCCCCGAGUGGUUGUGAGCAGUAAAGCGUCAGAGCAAUUUUGUAACUUCUAGAACAGUGGUUCUUCACCAGGGUUCGAUCGAACCCUACGGGUUCGGUGAGUCGACCUCAGGGGUUCGACGGAGAUCAAAAGACACCCGACUCUUCGUGUAAAUACAAACUUCUCCCUGCUGGCAUAUUACAGAUACGGCAACAGCUGACUGAUUUGCAGAACAUGAUGAAUCGUAUGACAACACGUAACGGGAAACUUCCGGUCGUGGACAGCGUACCUGGGCUCACUGGGACUUCUGCUGAUGCUUCAACAUGACCGCUGUCCGGACCUUGCAUGUUCUGAGACUCAGUAUGGCCCUCCGCUGCUUGAGCACCUGGUGGAGGCAGGACUGGCCAAUGGGACAAGACAGAAAGUCAGUGAAAAGAAAGAAACAAGACAGCAUUAGCGACUUCUUACAAAGGACGGUGUGCACACCAAAGCAAGCGGCUGCAUUGACUGAUGCUAUCCUGAAUAUGUUGCUAACUGACAUAAGGCGACUAUCAAUGGUGGAGGAUGACGGUUUCAGAAAAAUUAUUUACUUCCUCAACCCUGGUUACACUCUUCCCUCGAGAACCCAUUUUACGAAACUGAUGGAGAGGAAGUAUGAGCAAAUAUUUCAAGCUGUGUAAACUGACUUUAAAGCUACCCAGAACAAAAUUGUUCUGACCACUGAUGUGUGGACAAGUGUAGCCACGGAAGCCUACCUCGGCAAUACAUGCCACUACAUUGGAGAUGAAUGGAACAUGAAGUCAAUCUGCCUUACGACCAUGCCACUAGAGGAAAGACAUUCAGCAUUCAACAUUGCAGAAUGGUUGGAUUAGGUAGUAGGCAGGUUUGAAAUUCCCCUAAGCAAAAUUAUUGCUAUUGGGCAUGACAAUUGUGCACUUCUUUCUAACACUUGCCUUGUUAUUGUUAUGUUGGACAAGUCGAAAGGACAUGGUGCCAGUAUGCGUUUUUUUUAAAUAAAUUAUUGCAAAGGACAGAAAUGUAGUAUGUCUUUUUUUAUCCGAUUAUUAAUCGCUUAAUCGAAGUAAUAAUCGGCAGAUUAAUCGAUUAUCAA